AUGUAUCUUAAUACGUUAUGCCAUAUUACAUGUUUGUUUUUUUCUACGGGAGGAAAACGCUUAACGAAAGACUUUGUGCAUUGUGUUCAUAUUCUGCUGUUCUGUGGCCAUGGAUUUGCCGGUCUUGUCUUUUUCUUGCAGGACGCUGUACGUUAUAGUAGUAGGCCUACUAAUUUAGUUUUAAUCAGCGGAGAGUGCAAGUGGCGAUUGCAAGUGACAUUGUAAUUUAGUUUCUUUUUUCUUGUCUUCACCACCUGGCUACUGUUGUAAAAUGUUGAGAGAUUCAAACAAAAAGUUAUCAAUAAAUAGAACAAAAUAAAAAAAUAAAGACUGCAAGUGACGUCACUAGCGGAAGCACAAGUGUCUGAGAGUGCAAGUCUGGGAGUGCAAGUGCAAGUCUGCAGCCAGACCCUUCUCCCUUCUCUUUGGAUUCAGUUAGGUCGGUCCCUCCCCACAUUCUGUGGUUUUACUUGUAUUAUUUCUAUUUCGACUUCAUUCUGCCUCUCUUUGAUUUUAUUUUCAUUAAUUUACCUUUGUUUAGUAUUUUUAUUAAAUCUGAGAUUUAAUUAAAUCAAUUAGUUUAUUUACUUUUACUAUUAGGACCUUUUUGUUUUAUUUUUACCUUAUUUUAGUUUGUUUGACCAUCACCAUCUUCCCUCUUCAUAUAGAAUUAUAGCAGUCCUAGCAACUGUCGUUUCCUUAAUGAGCCGUACAGGUUAUUAGUAGCCUAAUUCCUGUCUCUGCUCUACCCCUCUUUACUUCUCAGCACAAGGCUAUCACAUAAGGUACAGUUACCAUUCAUUAUGCUACAGGCCCUGAGAAGACUAGAAACACGUCCUAUUGUUUAUGUGUAUAUACCUUGAGGUGUUCGAUGUGUGCCUGCUUAGCUAACAGUCUCCCUAGGUCUAUGACCCUGCUGCAGCAUCCCUUUGAACAGGUGACAACUGCUUAGUCAAAUCUCCUAGCUUAAACUAAACAAGGAAAGCCCUUCCUUCUCCCUCUGUCUUUUUCUGAUUUUAUUUCAGCUUUGUUUUAUUUGAUACAUUCAUAGUGACCAAACCUGUGAACCAUCAGAGCUUUGAGUAAUAGUUUGACCACACGUAUAGCCCGGUCAUCAGCUGACUCCUGCUUACAGACCCAUCAACAAAGUUACUCAAACUCUCUCUUUGUGUUCACGAACACAGAAACAUAGCACCCUACCUCACUAGCUGCCCCUCACCAGCUAUUCACACCUUACACGACCUACGCAGCCGUUCCCCAUACAGAUAGCUUUACACCUCUGUACGUACUUGCAUUUGCCUUCUGCCUCUGUCUCUGGU
ensembl:lncRNA